GUCGAGCUGACGAGUCCCAAAUAGGACGAAACCUGCGCCUUGGAU
rfam:Schistosoma rodhaini strain Burundi genome assembly, scaffold: SROB_scaffold0003073